rnacentral:rRNA from 1 species
AACGAACGCUGGCGGCAGGCUUAACACAUGCAAGUCGAGCGCCCCGCAAGGGGAGCGGCAGACGGGUGAGUAACGCGUGGGAACGUACCCUUUGCUACGGAAUAGCUCCGGGAAACUGGAAUUAAUACCGUAUGUGCCCUACGGGGGAAAGAUUUAUCGGCAAAGGAUCGGCCCGCGUUGGAUUAGCUAGUUGGUGGGGUAAUGGCCUACCAAGGCGACGAUCCAUAGCUGGUCUGAGAGGAUGAUCAGCCACAUUGGGACUGAGACACGGCCCAAACUCCUACAGGAGGCAGCAGUGGGGAAUAUUGGACAAUGGGCGCAAGCCUGAUCCAGCCAUGUCGCGUGAGUGAUGAAGGCCUUAGGGUUGUAAAGCUCUUUCACCGGAGAAGAUAAUGACGGUAUCCAGAGAAGAAGCCCCGGCUAACUUCGUGCCAGCCGCCGCCGUAAUAC